rnacentral:rRNA from 1 species
GCAGUGCUUGCACUGUGGAUUAGCGGCGAAAGGGAGAGUAACGCGUGGAUAUCUACCCUCGACUCUGGGAUAGCGGCGGGAAACUGCCGGUAAUACCGGAUAAUGUCUCCGGACCAAAGGUGUGAUUCCGGUUGAGGAUGGGUCCGCGUCCUAUUAGCUUGUUGGUGGGGUAAAGGCCUACCAAGGCAAAGAUGGGUACCGGGUGUGAGAGCAUGGCCCGGCUCACUGGGACUGAGACACUGCCCAGACACCUACGGGUGGCUGCAGUCGAGAAUCUUCGGCAAUGGGCGCAAGCCUGACCGAGCGACGCCGCGUGCGGGAUGAAGGCCUUCGGGUUGUAAACCGCUGUCAGUAGGGAGCAAAUGCAUAGGGGUUCUCUCCUAUGUUUGAGCAAUCUGCAGAGGAAGUACGGGCUAAGUUCGUGCCAGCAGCCGCGGUAACACGAACCGUACGAACGUUAUUCGGAAUCACUGGGCUUAAAGAGUUCGUAGGCGGCUCGGAAGGUUGGGUGUGAAAUCCCACAGCUCAACUGUGGAACUGCGCCCAAAACCGUCGGGCUUGAGGGAGACAGGGGUGAGCGGAACAGAUGGUGGAGCGGUGAAAUGCGUUGAUAUCAUCUGGAACACCGGUGGCGAAGGCGGCUCACUGGGUCUCUUCUGACGCUGAGGAACGAAAGCUAGGGUAGCGAACGGGAUUAGAUACCCCGGUAGUCCUAGCUGUAAACGAUGAGCACUAGUUCGAGGGAACCUCCACAUUCUCUCGGACGUAGCGAAAGUGUUAAG